UAAUACCAGCCCCCUGAGUGGUAAGGGCGAUUAUUUGGCCUAAAGCGUCCGUAGCCGGCUUAGCAAGUCUCUCGUUAAAUCCAAUGAUUUAAUCAUUGGGCCGCAAGAGAUACUGCUAGGCUAGAGGACGGGAGAGGUCGACGGUAGUCCAGGGGUAGGGGUGAAAUCCUAUAAUCCCUGGAGGACCGCCAGUGGCGAAGGCGGUCGACUAGAACGUGCCUGACGGUGAGGGACGAAAGCUGGGGGAGCGAACCGGAUUAGAUACCCGGGUAGUCCCAGCCGUAAACGAUGCGGGCUAGGUGUUGGGGUAGCUACGAGCUGCCCCAGUGCCGCAGAGAAGUUGUUAAGCCCGCCGCCUGGGGAGUACGGUCGCAAGGCUG
rnacentral:rRNA from 1 species